GACAGAGGGUGCAAACGUUGUUCGGAUUUACUGGGCGUAAAGCGCGUGUGGGCGGCUUUGCAAGUCGGAUGUGAAAUCCCACGGCUCAACCGUGGAAGUGCAUCCGAAACUGCAUCGCUUGAGUCUCGGAGAGGAAGGUGGAAUGCUUGGUGUAGAGGUGAAAUUCGUAGAUAUCAAGCAGAACACCUGCGGCGAAGGCGGCCUUCUGGACGAUGACUGACGCUGAGACGCGAAAGCGUGGGGAGCAAACAGG
rnacentral:rRNA from 1 species